AGAGGUGGCAAUUCAGGAUUGGUUGGAUGACUCCAGUCUCACCACAUGCCUUCCAUGUGAAGUUUUACAGAUGCAAUGUGAUGCAGUCCUUUGUGGUUCUUCUUACAAAUGCUCAGACCAUCCCACUGCUGGCCAGUGGAAGCUUCUCACCAUCUGAAGGAGCUUCCCUGGAGGCUCAGUGGCGAAGAAUCUCCCUGCCAAUACAGGAGACGCAGGUUCACUCUCUACAUCAGGAAGAUCCCCUGGAGAAGGAAAUGGCAAUCUGUUCCAGUAUUCUUGCCUGGGAAGUCUCAUGGACAGAGGAACCUGGUGGGCUACAGUCCAUGGGGUUGCAAAAGAGUUGGACAUGACUUAGGGACUAAACAGCAGCAAAAUAGGCAAGGCAUGGGAAGGCACUGUAAGAGAACUGAAGUACACUGUCAUUCCUGCCAUAACCUUCCAAAACAUUAUAGUAAAGGAAAUAAGAUGAAUCCCCCAAUAAUUUUAAUGUAACCAAAAUGGUAACUGCUAGAC
ensembl:lncRNA